UAGGUCUCAGAAAGGAGCACAUGGAGGGCAGCUUGUAGGCAGAAGUGAGGCUAAUGCUUAGGGAUGGUACCCUGGGCACAUGGCAGCGUCACCAGCUAAGAGAAUAUACAGGAUCCUACGCAAAGCUUUAGGCAGGAGUCCCCAGUCACUGGGGCACAGCACAACUGUGAAAGAUCUAUGAUGACCACUGUAACAAAGCAAUCUCAAAACCAAAACCCUGAAAACACAACAGAAAAGCUCCUUCACCUGGGGCUAACAGCUGUCUCUCUGAACGAUGGGAAUCUGCUGCAUGUGUUGUGCAUGCGAACAUCAGCCAUCCUUUCUCUUAAACUGGACACCAGUAAAGAGGACCUCUGGGUCAAAUGGCAAAGACAGUUGGAUCAUUGGUGUGAACUCAGCCAACAGGACCAAAUGUAACAAAUUCCUCCGUGCUGGAUACCGGAAACUGCUUCUUCUUGCCUUGAAUUUGCCAUUUUGCCCUGAUGUGCAAUUGUCUCGGCACAUG